GAUGAACGCUGGCGGCGUGCCUAAUACAUGCAAGUCGAGCGAACGGACGAGAAGCUUGCUUCUCUGAUGUUAGCGGCGGACGGGUGAGUAACACGUGGAUAACCUACCUAUAAGACUGGGAUAACUUCGGGAAACCGGAGCUAAUACCGGAUAAUAUUUUGAACCGCAUGGUUCAAAAGUGAAAGACGGUCUUGCUGUCACUUAUAGAUGGAUCCGCGCUGCAUUAGCUAGUUGGUAAGGUAACGGCUUACCAAGGCAACGAUGCAUAGCCGACCUGAGGGUGAUCGGCCACACUGGAACUGAGACACGGUCCAGACUCCUACGGGAGGCAGCAGUAGGGAAUCUUCCGCAAUGGGCGAAAGCAUGACGGAGCAACGCCGCGUGAGUGAUGAAGGUCUUCGGAUCGUAAAACUCUGUUAUUAGGGAAGAACAUAUGUGUAAGUAACUGUGCACAUCUUGACGGUACCUAAUCAGAAAGCCACGGCUAACUACGUG
rnacentral:rRNA from 1 species